rnacentral:rRNA from 1 species
GUGCAGCAGUCGCGAAACUUCACACUGUGCGAAAGCACGAUGGGGGAAUCCCAAGUGCUUGCACGUAAGUGUAAGCUGUUUCUCUGUCUAAAACGCAGAGAGAGUAAGGGCUGGGUAAGACGGGUGCCAGCCGCCGCGGUAAUACCUGCAGCUCAAGUGGUGACCGUUAUUAUUGGGCCUAAAACGUCCGUAGCCGGUUUAAUAAAUGCCUGGGUAAAUUGUGUAGCUUAACUAUACGAAUUCCGGGUAGACUGUUAAACUUGAGACCGGGAGAAGUUAGAGGUACUCCUGGGGUAGAGGUGAAAUUCUGUAAUCCUAGGGGACCACCAGUGGCGAAGGCGUCUAACUAGAACGGGUCUGACGGUGAGGGACGAAGCCCUGGGGCGCAAACGGGAUUAGAUACCCCCGUAGU